rnacentral:tRNA from 1 species
GCCUGUGAACUCGGUAAAGUCUGUGCGGCGCCUUGGCGUCCCGCCCGUUUUCCGCACUCGUAAUGCGUAGGUCAGCGGUUCGAAUCCGCUCGUUGGCUCCA